UACGAAGGGGGCUAGCGUUGUUCGGAUUUACUGGGCGUAAAGCGCACGUAGGCGGAUCGUUAAGUCGGGGGCGAAAUCCUGGAGCUCAACUCCAGAACUGCCUUCGAUACUGGCGAUCUUGAGUCCGGAAGAGGUGAGUGGAACUCCUAGUGUAGAGGUGGAAUUCGUAGAUAUUAGGAAGAACACCAGUGGCGAAGGCGGCUCACUGGUCCGGUACUGACGCUGAGGUGCGAAAGCGUGGGGAGCAAACAGG
rnacentral:rRNA from 1 species